GAUGAACGCUGGCGGCGUGCCUAAUACAUGCAAGUCGAGCGAACAGAUAAGGAUCUUGCUCCUUGGACGUUAGCGGCGGAGGGGUGAGACACACGUGGAAAACCUACCUAUAAGACUGGGAUAACUUCGGGAAACCGGAGCUAAUACCGGAUAACAUAUUGAACCGCAUGGUUGAAUAGUGAAAGGCGGCUUUGCUGUCACUUAUAGAUGGAUCCGCGCGGUAUUAGCUAGUUGGUAAGGUAACGGCUUACCAAGGCAACGAUACGUAGCCGACGUGAGAGAGUGAUCGGCCGCACUGGAAGGGAGCCACGGACCAGGGGACUACGGGAGGCAGCAGUAUGGAAUCUGCCGCAAUGGGCGAAAGCCUGACGGAGUAACGCGGCGUGAGUGAUGAAGGUCUUCGGAUCGUAAAACUCUGUUAUCAGGGGAGAACAAAUGUGUAAGUAACUGUGCACAUCUUGACGGUACCUGAUCAGAAAGCCACGGCUAACUACGUG
rnacentral:rRNA from 1 species